ACAAAAGAUAUUAGCCAAAUCAAAUAAGAGAGUUUAUUAAAAUUCUAAUGAAAGGAUUAGUUAAUAUGUAUAAUGUAGAGAGAGAUUUUAUAAAUUGACAAGAAAAGGACAAAACUCCAGAAAAAAAAUGAGAAAAAGGAAUACAUAAGCAAAUAGAGGAAAAGUAAAUCUGAGUGACCAGUAAAUAGAUAAGAAUGUAUAAAAUCUCCCUAUUGUCAGAUUAAGCACAGUGGUAAUGGGGUAUCAUUUUACAUCCAUUAUACAGGCAAAACUUUACAGAAAAACAGUAUCUUUGGCUAUUGAAUAAGUGUGAGAAAAUGUCACUUUCACACAUUGCUGGCAGAUAUAGAUCAUUUUAAUAUAUUUCUCGAGACUUUUUUCCAAAACCAAAAAUACACAUACUUAUUGGUGCCGCAGUCACUUUUCUGAGACAUGCCUCAUAGAAAUAAAAACACAAUUAUGGGAAGAUGAAGGUAAAAGUAUUUGUUUUGGUGAAUUUAUAAUAGGUCCAAACUAGAAACAAAGUGACAAUGAUAAAAACAAUAAAAAUGUAUAAAUGCUUCUGCAUAUGAUUUUAUGAGUGUGGGAAAAGUGUGGAAGAAUACCAGGUGCUAAAAUGGAUUAUCUGGAAUUGAGGUUGUUGACUGAAAACAAGUGUACAAAAUGAGAGCUGUGAGUUUCAGGUUUAUCUGAGGACUCACUGAGAGCUCCGAGGAACUGCUCCAAAGAGGUGACAGGAGUGGUCAGUAUACAUGUGCUUUUGGCCAAGAGGCACAUGCGAUCAAGCACACAUUUGGCAGAAUGCUAGUGCUAGUCACAAGGAACAGACAUCUCUUUUAAUGAUUUUAAUCUUUUCUAAGCACAGGACGAGAUAUGCAAGAAUCCAGGUUUAUAAAAUUUUCCUGAAAAUAUCUAACUAUCUGAGGGCCUGUUCUGCCAGUUUUCCCAGAGCAGAGUGUCUCAUCCUGACCUUUGCCCCGAAUUCCUGUCAGGGUGUACUGUAAGUCAGCAAUUGCAGUGGCUAUUGACUCGAUUCUUGUAGAACCAGGUGGCUAUUAUUCCUUAGUUGGCAAGGUAGAUAUGGAGAGGUCAGAAGAGGUGGCAGAGGGUGUGUGGAAACAAGCCAACAAGGAAGAAGCA
ensembl:lncRNA